GCUGCUUCUUCUUCCCCACCUCUCCUCUGACUCUUUGUUACCCUGUCCUCUCCCCGUCUUCCUCCCCGAAAGCAAAGCGAGACAGCAAGAGCACCGAGCAGAAAUCCGCCGCUGAAUCAAGCUAGAAGAGAAGCGAAUCCCAAGGAUGUCUGCCAAGUACAUAGUCGCCGGCCUUGUUGGCUCAUGUGCCAUCUCAUAUGCUUGCGACUACAUUGUUUCCCAGAAGAAGAUCUUCGGUGGCACCAUACCAGGGACUGUGUCUGACAAGGAGUGGUGGCAGGCGACAGAGAAGAGGUUCCAGGCAUGGCCUCGCACCGCUGGUCCGCCGGUCAUCAUGAACCCCAUAAGUCGCCAGAACUUCAUCGUGAAGGACCUCAACCCCUGAGGCCUGAUACCGUGAGGUUCGUGGCCGGAAGCUCACGCUGAAGGCUUCUUCUGAACUGGGCUGGGCCGAAGUGGCGAUUGUCUGUGUUGCUACAACCUUCUUUUCUGUGCUGCAAUCUUAAGGCUACUCUGUCUUAAUAAUAAAACAGUACUCUUACCUUACCUCUAUGGCAGUCUGGCAUGUUUUGCUUUUAGACUUUUGCCAUCAUGGCAUGGACAUGAUGUGUUCUUAUGCAGUAUCCUCUGGUACUACUCUGUGAUUUUGUGAGCUGCAACGAGGAUAUAUAUAUAUAUAUAUGCCUUGCAAAAAGGAAUUUAUUUUACACCCUUCUUCUAACACUAGCAUCCAGAUGGCAUGGAAGCUGUUGUGCUUUACUAUUAUUUUAGCUAGCAUCUCAUGGUUUUCUUAAGAAGCUUCUCUCCUCUUUGCCCAGUGAUGCUGAUUGCUGAGGCUGAUGCCAUUUGUCAGAGAUGUGGCAAUAUUUUGUCAGAUGGUUUGGAAAGUCUUUUGUCCAGGCAUUUGGUAUUAUUAUUUUUCUGAUGAAAGCACAGGCAUGUGUAUGCCCCUUUCUGGUGAGAUCUGGCGGCGGACUAUAUUCUGGCUCAGGUGCAUCUCUUUUUGCCUGAAAAUUGUUCAAGCUAGGCUCCUAAGCAUGAAACAGAGAUAAAUGCAAACAUCAAGGUAAACGUCAAUUAUACAAUGCUAAGGGUAUUUCAACAUGUAACAAACAACACAUGCCAAUACAAGAGGUUGAAUAAAUGCAAGCAUCAAACAAGGAAAGGGAAGGAAGACAUCAAUUUGUAUUGAGAUUUGAGUGUAGCUUUGCUGAACCUAUCAGUGUGGUGUGAGUUUUUAAAUACAGUGGGCGUGUUCCUGAACUUGUAAAAAUAUAGUGGGUGUGUUCCUGUUAGCAGCUGCAGCAAAUGUGGAAAACUUUGAGGAUCAAUGGCGUAUACUUUCUUCCGUUA